rnacentral:rRNA from 1 species
UACGAAGGGGGCUAGCGUUGUUCGGAAUUACUGGGCGUAAAGGGCGCGUAGGCUGUGCUGUAAGUCAGGCGUGAAAGGCCCGGGCUCAACCUGGGAAUGGCGCAUGAUACUGCGGCGCUGGAAGGCGGGAGAGGAUGGCGGAAUUCCCAGUGUAGAGGUGAAAUUCGUAGAUAUUCGGAAGAACACCAGUGGCGAAGGCGACUUACUGGACACAUAUUGACGCUGAGGUGCGAAAGCGUGGGGAGCAAACAGG